rnacentral:rRNA from 2 species
UGGGGAAUAUUGCGCAAUGGGGGGAAUCCUGACGCAGCAACGCCGCGUGAAGGAUGAAGGUUUUCGGAUUGUAAACUUCUUUGAUGAGGGACGAAAGAAAUGACGGUACCUCAAAAACAAGCCACGGCUAACUACGUGCCAGCAGCCGCGGUAAUACGUAGGUGGCGAGCGUUGUCCGGAAUUACUGGGUGUAAAGGGCGUGUAGGCGGGGAGACAAGUCAGAUGUGAAAUACCGAGGCUUAACUUCGGGGCUGCAACUGAAACUGUUUUUCUUGAGUGUCGGAGAGGAAAGUGGAAUUCCUAGUGUAGCGGUGAAAUGCGUAGAUAUUAGGAGGAACACCAGUGGCGAAGGCGGCUUUCUGGACAGUAACUGACGCUGAGGCGCGAAAGCGUGGGGAGCGAACAGG